CAUUGUGAGAGUUAGUCUGAUUGAUGACACAUUGAUAUUUCAUCUACUCAUGGAUCAACAGCUGCCAGGAGGAUGGAGUGUGGUGGAGCCCGCCACACCAGAGGUGCAGAACAUCUGUGAUGUGGUAAAGACACAAGUUGAAGCGUUCAUACCUGGAGCCAACUUUGAAGUUUUCACUGCUGUAAGCUUUGCUUAUCAGACUGGGAACAGAAUGAAUUAUGUAAUCAAGGUGGAUGUCAAAGGAAAUGUAAGUGUUCAUGUGAUGGUAGCAGCAGCUCUACCUUGCUAUCCAGAGGAUCUGAAGGUGCUGAGAAUCCAGUACCCUAAAAGCUCCAGUGACCCUCUGCAACCCUUUUGAAUAAGCACAUACAAACAUCUACAGGCGCUCUGUUUGAUAGUGUAACAACACCGUAACAAUAUUAAACAUUCUGACACUCCAGUGCCUGUGUAAAUGUGUAUUAGUGUGAACAACAAAUCAAGUCACUGUACUCAAAAUGUAUUGAGCUGAAGCAGCUGAACAUGGACAGCAUUAGUCCAAAAGAAAAGAAAAUCACAUAUUUCAACACACUGGACUCUUUUAUGAAACU